GUGGGGAAUUUUGGUCAAUGGGCGCAAGCCUGAUCCAGCAAUGCCGCGUGCAGGAAGAAGGCCUUCGGGUUGUAAACUGCUUUUGUACGGAACGAAACGGUCCGGGUUAAUACCCUGGGCUAAUGACGGUACCGUAAGAAUAAGCACCGGCUAACUACGUGCCAGCAGCCGCGGUAAUACGUAGGGUGCAAGCGUUAAUCGGAAUUACUGGGCGUAAAGCGUGCGCAGGAGGUUUUGUAAGACAGGCGUGAAAUCCCCGGGCUCAACCUGGGAAUUGCGCUUGUGACUGCAAGGCUGGAGUGCGGCAGAGGGGGAUGGAAUUCCGCGUGUAGCAGUGAAAUGCGUAGAUAUGCGGAGGAACACCGAUGGCGAAGGCAAUCCCCUGGGCCUGCACUGACGCUCAUGCACGAAAGCGUGGGGAGCAAACAGGAUUAGAUACCCCAGUAGUCC
rnacentral:rRNA from 1 species